UAUAAAGUGCCUGAUUAAAGGAUUAUUCUGAUAGAAUAAAUUAAAUAAUUUAAAAUUAUCUUUAUAA
rnacentral:tRNA from 1 species